AUUGCAGACGGAGUCUUGUUCACUCAGUGCUCAAUGGUGCCCCGGCUGGAGUGCAGUGGCAUGAUCUCCGCUUGCUACAACCUCCAUCUCCCAGCAGCCUGCCUUGGCCUCCCAAAGUGCCGAGAUUGCAGCCUCUGCCUGGCUGCCACCCCAUCUGGGAAGUGAGGAGCGUCUCUGCCUGGCCGCCCAUCGUCUGGGAUGUGAGGAGCGCCUCUUCCCGGCCGCCAUCCCGUCUAGGAAGUGAGGAGCGUCUCUGCCCGGCCACCCAUCGUCUGAGAUGUGGGGAGCGCCUCUGCCCCGCCGCCCCGUCCGGGAUGUGAGGAGCGCCUCUGCCCCGCCGCCCCGUCCGGGAUGUGAGGAGCGCCUCUGCCCGGCCGUGACCCCGUCUGGGAGGUGAGGAGCGUCUCUGCCCGGCCGCCCCGUCUGAGAAGUUCCCUGCUCAGAUGGAGAGUUAAACGUAAUAGUAAGGCCAGGUACAGUGGCAUAAACCUGUAGUCUCAGCUACUUGGGAGGAUCCCUUGAGCCCAGGAGUUCAAGACCAGCCUGGCAAGACAUAGCAAGAUCCUAGCUCUUUAAAAAAAAAUAGUAAUUCCCCUUCCUCAAAAUUAUAUUAAUAAGGCUACUUCAUCUGGACAUUCAUCAGUCUCAAGGUAUGGUUCAUCUGGAGACAGAAUCAUUCCUGCACUUGGUACUUUUGGAGUCUGUUUAUUCACCUCACAAUUUUAAGUACUUUAUAUUUAACAAAAUACAAAAACUGGGUGCUUUCAUAAAUGUUUUCUCAUCUAAUUCUUGGAACAGCUUAGUGGAGUAUUUAAUAUUAUCCCCCAUUUUACAGAUGCAGACCUCUGUUGAAUGACUGCCAGACGUAAGGGUUCUGCUUUGAGAAACUGAUAGAAUCCAAUUUAUGUUCUGUAGAUUAUGCUGUUUCCAUCUCACUUCAAUAAAUACUUAUCAAGCACUUACUUGUGUUCAGCACUGUUCUAUACACUCAAGA
rnacentral:lncRNA from 1 species